UGUGCAAAACAAUUUAGGUCUCUCCUUGCUCCUCCUCCUCUUUACCUCACUCAGCAAAACAAGGUUUCUCAUUAAGGUGCAUCCUCCUUAGAAGGUUAUAGACUCCCUGAGGUGUCUCCACUCAUGUCUCCAAGCAAAAGAGAUCGUCCUCCGCUGAGAAUAAUAGAACAUACAGACACUGUCUCACUCUCAUCCUCAAUCAACUGCUGCAGCAGGGCAGAACAAAACAGAUACAUGGAAACUCCAUGUGGAGAAGCAGCCUUGAUCACCAUCUACUCAGGCCUGCUCAAGGAGACUGGGCAGUCUAAGAUCCAGUGGACCGAAGGAAAGACAAAAAGAGGCUUCCAGCCACCUUCUUUGAGCUACUAUACUAGAAACUCCAAGAUUUUUGUUAUUUAUUAUGUGCCAAUGAACAAUCUAGUCUAUGCGUUGAAAAAAUUGAAGAAAGCAAGUUCUCAGACAAACUGAUGACAAAAAAUGUCAAGAGCCUCAUUUCAAGUUUGCUGCAAGGACAGAGCCCUCGGAGCAGGUCAUACACAAGUAAUUCUCGAAAGAAACAUCUAUGAAGAAGUAGAAAGGGAAAAAAGAAGACUAGAGGAAGAGUCUAAUGCAAAAGAGAAAGAAGGAGGAAGUGUUAAAGAAGAUGAAUAAAGGAUGGGUGAAGAUUGUGACCAACCAGCUUUCCAGAAGAGGUCCUCAUCUCAGCUACAUCUAUCAAGCCUAUGAUUAGGAAUGCUAAUUACUUCCCAGAAGAGGCCCAGCACCUUUUAAACUGUGGAAGAAUAGUUCUGCCCCUUGCCCAACUUGGGACCAUAUUCUUUCUCAUUGUUUUCGUCUUCUGUAUCCAAAGCCAGUAAACCCCACCAAGUUUUCUAUUUUCCAAAGAGAGAUGAGUACUACCCCUUCACCACAAUGCUUCAAAGUGAUAGCCAUUUCUUGUGUCUCGCCAGGAAUUUUUCGCCCAUAAUAUUAUGCUCUAAAGGAAAGCUUUCCCUUACAUCAUACUGUGGUGUGACUUCUGCACGUGUGCUGUAAUUGGCAUUCCUGCCCUCCACCUGUUUUUUGUGCACAGGACUCUACUGGUGGUGGGCUCUAGAAAAGGAGUUUAGCCAGGAAAGCAACAAAAGUACCAACAGCUCAUAGGACCAAUCUUGCCGACAUCAUUUAACUUAAACUUUCUAUCAAAGAGAGUUUCUAACAUAUGCAAAAAGGCAGACUUGUACAAAAACUUUCUAACCCCCAUCACCCAGCUUCAACCAUUAUCAAUCCAAGCUAGUUGUAUUUAAUCUAUAUCCUUGCCCCCUUCUCUUUCUGUUGUGUUAUUUUGAAGUAAAUUCCAGACAUCAUAUCAUUUUGUCUGCAGAUUAUUCACUGUUACCUCUAAAGAAUAAGGUGGAUUUUUUAACAUAUAAACUCAAUACCAUUAUCACAAUUUUAAAAUCAAAUACCAUUAUCACAAUUUUAAAAUCAACAACAAUACAUUAAUAUUAAAUAUUCAGUAAGGGACUUCAAAUUCUCGACUGCUUCAGGAAUGGCAUAAUUUUAUAAUGUGUUUGUUUCGCUAGGGACUCAAAUGAAGUCCACAUUUAAUUGAUUGGUAAUUUUUUAUGUAUUUUAUAUAGGUUCCCCCACCCCUUCCUUGCAAUUUUUUUCUUGAAAAAACCAGAUUUUCGGUCCUGUAGAAUUUUCCAUAGUCUAUUUAUUCCUCACUGCCCAUCUGUGGAAUAAUUUAUCAUGUAUUUCCUAUAAAUCGGUAGACAAAUCCAGACACUGCUGGCUUGUUUUAAAAUCACAUUUGCCACUUACUUCAGUACUAUUUCCAUUAUGUCAUCUUACAAUUUUUCAGAACUGUUGCAUUUGUCUAUCAACGUUUCAAACCUUGCAACAUUCUUUUUAACUAAGAAACAUUUCAUAGGCUUAUUCCAAAAGGACUAGCCACCUUAAAUCAAAUGUUAGGGAAAAAAUAUUGUUCUAGAACAAAAAUUCAAUAAUAACUUUUUGGCACAAAAGUUUUAGUCACAUUGAGAACAAAAAUUGUCCUAAACCUUGUCUGGAAGCAGAACUAUUUUAUGUGAUAUAAUUCACAACCUCCUCCGGGAAGUAAUUGGCAUUGCUGUUAAAAUGCUUUAGCACUUUUCUGAUAGGCCUAAAUGAGAUUAAGGACUUCUGGGAAGCCAAGGUUACCCACCCAGCUGACUGGCUAGCCUAAUAAUCUUUAACCAGACAUUAUUUUUUUCUUGUAUCCAGUUUAACAGUGAUUGACCAUUUGCUUUUCCUAUACAAUUCCUAAAGGGAAUCUUAAAUUGGUACAUUUAAAGGUUUUACCCCUUGUGGCUAGCUAGAAAUAAAGCUUUGACUCCGGUUUAUAAUCCAUUUGUCUAAGAAGUUGUUUUAACAACAUUUAGGAAGAAAUACUGUAUUUUUUUACUAGUUUAAGUAGCUAAGAAAUAUCAAUGAAAGGUAUUAAAUAUGCCGGGCGCGGUGGCUCAAGCCUGUAAUCCCAGCACUUUGGGAGGCCGAGGCGGGUGGAUCACGAGGUCAAGAGAUCGAGACCAUCCUGGUC